UAGGGAAUCUUCCGCAAUGGACGCAAGUCUGACGGAGCAACGCCGCGUGAGUGAAGAAGGAUUUCGGUUCGUAAAACUCUGUUGUUAGAGAAGAACAGCGCAUAGAGUAACUGUUAUGCGUGUGACGGUAUCUAACCAGAAAGCCACGGCUAACUACGUGCCAGCAGCCGCGGUAAUACGUAGGUGGCAAGCGUUGUCCGGAUUUAUUGGGCGUAAAGCGAGCGCAGGCGGUCAAUUAAGUCUGAUGUGAAAGCCCCCGGCUCAACCGGGGAGGGUCAUUGGAAACUGGUUGACUUGAGUGCAGAAGAGGAGAGUGGAAUUCCAUGUGUAGGGGUGAAAUGCGUAGAUAUAUGGAGGAACACCAGUGGCGAAGGCGACUCUCUGGUCUGUAACUGACGCUGGGGCUCGAAAGCGUGGGUAGCAAACAGG
rnacentral:rRNA from 1 species